AUUCUGAAAGGACGUGCGUGUGUGUGGAGAGUGGCUGUGAAAGCGACACGGGCUCUGUGGGAAGAGAAGUAAGGAGGACUUCUGGGAAGGAAACGAGGUUCUCGGAUGAGCAGGGGCUGUGAUAUGAAAGUGAUCAAGAGAUGGGACCAUCUAGUUGCAAGAGAACAAGCUCAGGGCUCCCCCUGAUUCUACAUGAUGUAUUUGUCUUCACUUUCAAAGAGCGUAAAGUGAAAGAAAGGAGGAAGUCCACACCCUUGGGUUUGGGGGCAUCGGAUCCAGUGUGCAAUGAUUUCAGGAAGAUAAAAUAGCCGUGGCAUUUUGAAAACCAGCUCAGAAGAUAUAAGCAUAUGAAAUGGUGAGUGUUUGGUGAACCGCACGGUAGAGUGGUUAAGCAUUUGGUCUUCUGAGUCAGUCGAAACUUUGGCUUAAGGCCCAACUGCAUCAUUUACUAGCUGUGUGACCUUCAGCAAGUGACUUACCUUAUCUGAGCUCCAAUAUCCUUAUCUCUAUACUGGGGGUAAAGUUACCAACCUCCUAAAAUAUUGUGAAGAUUUCUGGAAAUGGUGUUUAUAAAGUAUUGGUGCGGUUCUUGGCAAAUGCUUCAAACUCAAUAAAUGGAAGCUGCCAUCGUCAGUGUCAUCAUCAUCAUCGUUACCAUCAUCACCACCACUGAUGUCAUUAUCAGGAGGAAGAAAAGAAGAAGGAAACAUUUUCUAGGCUUUUAAAACUUGUUUCAUCCACUUCUGACCUCAGAAUAAUUACAAUAAUCUAUUACUGUGUCAUAAUAUCUAAAAGAACCUAUCUCUACCAUUGUGGGAGGAACCAUAUUAGUUCAGCAGAGUAACUGGGUUCACGCUGCCUUCUCUACCUUCUCAGGCUUCUCUGUGAGGCUUGGUAGAACGAUUUACUCUUCUUCCUGCAUUCUUACUGUGUGGAGUCUGUGUGCCUCCAGUUAGCCCUCGCCUCAUUACCCUUUCCUGUGUCAACAGCUGUGAUUGAUAUCGGGAUGGAUUCGAAGUGAGGCAGCUAGCAGCGUGACCUUGAGCAAAUCAGUUCAUUUCACUGGGGCUUUGUCUCUUCAUCUGGACACUGGGGUCGUAUCACCCACCUCACAAGGUUACAUGAGAUGGUUUUCCCAGCAUGUAAUAGGUUCUCAUAAAGAUCAUAGUUACU
rnacentral:lncRNA from 1 species